rnacentral:rRNA from 1 species
GACGAACGCUGGCGGCGUGCUUAACACAUGCGAGUCGAACGGAAAGGCCCUGCUUUUGUGGGGUGCUCGAGUGGCGAACGGGUGAGUAACACGUGAGUAACCUGCCCUUGACUUUGGGAUAAUUUCAGGAAACUGGGGCUAAUACCGGAUAGGAGCUCCUGCUGCUUGGUGGGGGUUGGAAAGUUUCGGCGGUUGGGGAUGGACUCGCGGCUUAUCAGCUUGUUGGUGGGGUAGUGGCUUACCAAGGCUUUGACGGGUAGCCGGCCUGAGAGGGUGACCGGCCACAUUGGGACUGAGAUACGGCCCAGACUCCUACGGGAGGCAGCAGUGGGGAAUAUUGCACAAUGGGCGGAAGCCUGAUGCAGCAACGCCGCGUGCGGGAUGACGGCCUUCGGGUUGUAAACCGCUUUCGCCUGUGACGAAGCGUGAGUGACGGUAAUGGGUAAAGAAGCACCGGCUAACUACGUG